rnacentral:rRNA from 1 species
CAGCCGCCGCGGUAAGACGAACCGUGCGAACGUUAUUCGGAAUCACUGGGCUUAAAGCGCGUGUAGGCGGAUGGGAGCGUCGGCCUCUGAAAUCCCCCGGCUCAACCGGGGAAGUGGAGCCGAAACGACCCGUCUGGAGGGACGUAGGGGGACCUGGAACUUCCGGUGGAGCGGUGAAAUGCGUUGAGAUCGGAAGGAACGCCCGUGGCGAAAGCGGGGUCCUGGACGUCUGCUGACGCUGAGACGCGAAAGCCAGGGGAGCGAACGGGAUUAGAUACCCCUGUAGUCCCUGUCUCUUAUA